rnacentral:rRNA from 1 species
AUUGAACGCUGGCGGCAUGCCUUACACAUGCAAGUCGAACGGCAGCACGGGAGCAAUCCUGGUGGCGAGUGGCGAACGGGUGAGUAAUAUAUCGGAACGUGCCCGGUCGUGGGGGAUAACGUAGCGAAAGCUACGCUAAUACCGCAUACGAUCUACGGAUGAAAGCGGGGGAUCGCAAGACCUCGCGCGAUUGGAGCGGCCGAUAUCAGAUUAGGUAGUUGGUGAGGUAAAGGCUCACCAAGCCGACGAUCUGUAGCUGGUCUGAGAGGACGACCAGCCACACUGGGACUGAGACACGGCCCAGACUCCUACGGGAGGCAGCAGUGGGGAAUUUUGGACAAUGGGCGCAAGCCUGAUCCAGCAAUGCCGCGUGCAGGAAGAAGCAUCUAUGGUGUGUAAACUGCUUUUGUACGGGAAGAAACACUCCUACGUGUAGGAGCUUGACGGUACCGUAAGAAUAAGGAUCGGCUAACUCCGUGCCAG